AAGAGUAUGUAUCCAGAUCAGACUUAGCAGAUGCAUAGGCUGAUCUGCAUCCAGGUGGUUGCAAAUGCAGUAUGUUGGUUUUCUCAUAGGGCGGCUCAUUUAUUGAGCAUAUCUUCAUCAUCUUGUGAUGCUAAAUAUAUUAGUAAUAUUGUAAUAAUUUCAGGUUCCAGGCUUUCCCACUUGGUUUAACAUUAAAUAUAGCGGGGAUCGAGCGGUCUAUACGUAUGAGCUACUGGUGGAUCAGAAAAUUGGAUGUUUGAAACUGCUUGUUUAAGGGCUGUGUAUAUUGCCAGAUACAGACAAGAUGCACUCUGACGAGAGGACUACUAAUGGAUGGGUUGCAGAGAUGCAGAUAUCAAAGUGUAUAGACUUAACUGGUCAUAAAAUAGAUAUAGUUAAAUUCAUGUUGUUGCUUUUUCGGUGAGAUGUUGUUGGAUCAAAUCUGUAGAUGACUGUUCACUUAAAGUACAAAAACUAUGUUUGGACAUUUGGGGGAAAAAACAACACAAAAACAGUAUGGAUGAUAAAGCACAAAGAUAUGUAUUAAGAUUCGUGCCUUCCUUGUGUUUGAUGUGGCUUUAUUGUUUGAAUUAUUAUAUCUUAUUUUCAUAUGGAAUGACUAUUUUUCCAUAAUAUGUCUAUGUGUUGUCAAUAUUAUGAAUAUAUGAUGCAUUAUGAAAUAAAUAGUUGGCACUGAAAUGUUAAAACUAAGUUUUCUCAGAAUAAAGUCUUACAUUUAAGC